rnacentral:tRNA from 1 species
UGGAGAAUUACUCAAGAGGCUGAAGAGGACGGUUUGCUAAAUCGUUAGGUCGGGUAACUGGCGCAAGGGUUCGAAUCCCUUAUUCUCCGUAUU